GUCCGUCCUGCAUCUGCCCCUCGUGGGUCCUCAGCUUCCACCAUUUGAGUGGAAUGAGAAUCUCUCCGGUUUCUCCUGUCAUAUGCAGAGAAGCGAAUGUCAUCGUGAGUACGUCGCACACACACAGUGCAGGCACAAACCUCAUCGCACAUCUGGUGCUCAGGUGGUCUGAGCAGAAUGGACACGGAACGGCUCCCCCAGAGAAGUUCCAGCAGAGGGAAGAAAGGCAGGCACUGAAUAGGAACUAAGCGGCCACUUCAUCCUGGGAGCUGUGGGGAACAGCAUGGCCGAACGGUGGUGGAGGUCAGCCUGGCCUGAGGCCUCCCAUGGGUGUGGGUCAGGGCCACCAACCAGCACCAGGACCAACACAAAGAAAGUAUUCCCUCAAGAUUCCAACUGAAGCCAUAGUGUCAAGUAAGGCCUUUGGCUCGUCAUCACACAGAUGGGACAACUGGUAAAAAGGAAGGGAAUCAAAGCCCAAGUGACUCCUGAGAACAAGAUCCUCAGUUGGCCUUGACAGUUUUGUUUUUUAAGUGAUAAAUCUGGCCACUUAGAAGGUCUUAGAAGGUCUUAAAUACCUAACAGGUGGAGAGCCCACCCGGAAGGACCAAUACAAUGCAGGGAUGGAUGGAGAGCCCACUGUAAGGACCAGUAUGAUGCAGAAAUGCAUGGAGACCCCACCUGGAAGGGCCGGUACGAUGCAGGGGUAGAUGGAGACCCACCCGGCAGGUAAAACAGACCUACAAGAUCACUUUAAGGCUGGUACCAAGUCUGGGAUCCAUACCUCACAAGAUUCCCUAGGCCAGGUAUGCAGAGAUCAGAGGACAACUUUGGGGUGAUGUUCAGGGAUGCCAUGUGCCUCCCUUGGCAUGGAGGUCACAAAUUGUCCAGGGAAUCCCAGAGACCAUCAGCCUUCAGUUUUGAGAUGACAGGACUGUAUUUGCCACACCAAGAAAUUUUCUGUGGAUGUUGGGGUUCAAACUCAUGCUUGCAAAGCAAGUCUUUUAUUGACUGAGUCGUUUCCCCAACUCUGCAGCGGGCUCUUUAGUUGUGCAGGUGGCUCUAAAAUGCAGAGGUAAAUCUUUUUGAUUCUAGCAUGCCUAAAUAACUCAGAAUCUCAGGGAGUGCUAGUUAGAACCAUGAACUUGGGUCAGAGUCCAGGCCUCUGAGGUCCUGACAUUGGAGACACACACACACACACACACACACUCACUCUGCUUUUCCAGGCCCCACAUGCUAAGCGUCAGAGUAAACAGUUAAUGCAUGGUUGGAAGGAUGGUGGUUCCUGCCAGGCUCGUACACCUGUAAAGGAGACACACACACAGCUGGACACUUGGCAGUCGCAGUGAGGUACCCCAGGACACCUAACCACGGCAGUUCCUGACAGGGACAGAUGGCUCCCAGUAGUUCAGUGAACAGCUCUAAGUGGCAGGGACAAUGCUGGGCUUCGGUCAUCACCGCAGUGGAACGGCAGCUUCUGAUUGCAGGGUGACAGACCAAACGUUACCUGGCUGUGUGGGAAGGCGAUGAGGACCAGAGCGUGACUGGAGACAACACAAUUCUACAUGAUGGGAGAUUUGGACGGCCACAGGUCAAAACCUGAGUGGAGAAGACUGGAGUGGGUGCUGCUAAUGCCUGCUUCCCCUCAGCCCCAGCUUUGUUCCCCACAGGUAGGUGAAGGGAACACCACUGCCAUCCCGUCUUCCAGUCCAUGCUCACUGGCUCCUUCCAGAUCAUCCGAGUCUCCUCAAGGUUUCUAUGGCUUUCCCUCACCACCCCAGUGCAGCCUAUAGCCUUGGGCUGAGGUCACACCCUGUGUACGCCUGCAUUUUGCUUGACCCGAGUCAUGUUUCCCCAACUGAGCAAUGUGACAACCACCAUCCCUUCUCUCUAGGGCUGCUGCAGGCCAGAGAACGGACUGGAAAAUGACCAGAAAUGACAAAGCCCUUAGGACAGGCAUGAGGGUGAGAUUGGCUACUUUAUUAGGAAAUGGUCAUACCCUGGGCUGAGGUUUGCCUUUGUAAAAAGCUAUAGGGACGCAAGAAGGCCCAGAAUCCCAAAGCCCAUUCGCUACCACAGGCCUCAGAACAAACCACACCUGGAACCCUAAGGAGCCAACCAUGAAUACAUGGAACCUCUUGUGUUUCACAGUCACCCGCAGGGCCUCGCUGGGCCCCUGUACAGACUCCCCGCACCCAAGAGCAUGCCUUGGGAUGGGACAAGACCCUCCAGCUGUAGGGAUGCUGAGCCCUGAGCCCUGCCCGCUGUCUUCAGCUG